rnacentral:tRNA from 1 species
GCCGAUGUAGCUCAGUCGGUAGAGCGCGUCCUUGGUAAGGACGAGGUCACCGGUUCGAUCCCGGUCAUCGGCUCCA